UACGUAGGGUGCGAGCGUUGUCCGGAAUUAUUGGGCGUAAAGAGCUUGUAGGCGGUUUGUCGCGUCUGCUGUGAAAAUCCGGGGCUCAACCCCGGACUUGCAGUGGGUACGGGCAGGCUAGAGUGUGGUAGGGGAGACUGGAAUUCCUGGUGUAGCGGUGAAAUGCGCAGAUAUCAGGAGGAACACCGAUGGCGAAGGCGGGUCUCUGGGCCGAUACUGACGCUGAGGUGCGAAAGCGUGGGGAGCAAACAGG
rnacentral:rRNA from 1 species